rnacentral:rRNA from 1 species
UGGGCCUGGACUCGGGGGAAACGGGGAAAAAGGGACGUUAAUACGGAUAACAUCCUACGGCAGAAAGGAGGGGACCUUCGGGCCUUGCUCUAUUUAAUGAGGCUAGGGGGGGCCCCUAGAUGUAUUUGGUUGGCUCAGCAAGGCGACGAUCCGUAACUGGUCUGAUGAAUGAUCAAAAAAACUGGAGUGAGACACGGUGAGACUCCUACCUGAGGAAGCAAGGGGAAAUAUUGGACAAGGGUGGAAAGCCUGAUGAAAAAUGAACCGUGUGGCGGAAGGAAGGAGGAUUGGGUUUUACUUUGUUUUAUGAUGAAGGGCAGUAACAAAAUCGUUGCUGUAACGGAUUGAGGGUAGAAUAAGAACCGGCUAGUCUG